AACUAGCCGUAAUGAAGCCUUGGGGGAAAAAGUCUAACUGGCGGAACUCCUGGGAACUGGGGCGAUGAGCUCUUAGUAUCGGAGGAUUGGAACCAUCUGAUUUUUACCUGAAAUUCCGUAGUCUCUCCUGUGUUGGGGAAAUGAGACCAGGACUUGCUGUGUUGCCCAGGCUGGUCUUGAACUCCUGGUCUUAAGCAAUCAUACUGCUUUGGCCACCCAAAGCACUGGGAUUACAGGCGUGAACCACCACACCCAGCUUUUAAAACCACAGUAUUUCUAGGACUGCACCAAGGGGCAACGCAGUACUGCAGCCUUCCUCUGACUCAGUUUGGAUUCUCUCUGUCCGUUCUCAUCACACUACUAAGGAGAGAACAGUGCCAGGCAGGGGAAGGAGAGGUACCUGAAGUUCUUUCUCCAGUUGAGCCUGAAGCUCUUCCAUCCCCGAGGGCAGCACUAGCCUGGAGGGCAGAGAGGUCGAGCGUCUCAACAGCAUGGGGUUGGCACCAUUGAGGAACUGGUAGCCGAACAGCUCAUCAUCCUGCCAGCACUGGCGAACC
rnacentral:antisense_RNA from 1 species